rnacentral:tRNA from 1 species
GGCGGUAUGGCUCGGGGUAGAGUGCAUGCUUAGCAUGCAUGAGGUCCUUGGUUCAAUCCCCAGUACCUCUA